UACAGACAUCCAGCCACCUGGGGCCACCUGGCGCCUUGGCUUCUCCUCUCCGAGCUCACCUCACCUCUAUCUCCUCUCCUUCCUCCCCCACCUGCCACCCGGGGCGCAGGGCAGGGGAAGCUAGCACUUAUCAAGACAAAGAACAAAAGUCGUGGGGGCAAGAAGCCAAGAGCCAUCUCUACUCUGGGGUAGGUAGGGCCUUCAGCUUCGCCCCUUUGAAAUUUCAAAUUCCAGUUUGUGGACAAAGUCCUAACUAUCUCACAAUAUAGGUCCCCAACUGCUGACCAAACUCCAGUCCAGGCAGCCACCUGGCCUGAGACUGGCCUGGCUUUGCCGUUUCCUUUGGCAGCUCCCAAGACCCGAGGGUAGGAGCCCUAGGCAGCUGGGACCUACUAGGCCAUCCUGAAGCCCCCAGCUCACUACCAAAGAAUCUCUGUUCCUAUCUGAGAGGACCACCUCUGUCUGAAGCUGGAAUCUGAUUCUUGUUGGUGUCAACAACUGAAACCAGGCAGGAGGUAGCUCCAUACUUCUGUUCUCUGAAGAAGGACGUGACUGAGACACUUGCCAGCGAGAUGUGAGGGAAAGCAAGUUGUGCCGGCCCCAGUCGGAAACUUUGAGACUAGUCUGCUUCAACAGGGUGGGUAUUGAGUAAUCGUGGUCAGGAGCGCCCCCUUCUGACCACGGAGGGACAUGCACUGUAAGAGCACUAGAAACCAGCUAAGUGGAGCCAGGCUUGGGCCUUUUGGUCACAGACUAGCCAUUCCUGAUCAGUUGGGACAAACUUCCUAAAGGCAUCACAGAUUUCCCCAAGACCAGAAUUGCUUCUGUCAUCUGAAAACAAUUUCUAAUGCUACCUACACACAUUUUCUUGCACAAGAUCACAUCUUUUUACUUAGCUUUAUUGUAUUGCUUUUUUCCCCCCUUACUUUUUGAGGUAGGGUCUCAUGGAGCCCAAGCUGGCCUCAAACUUGCUAGGUAGCUGAGAAUGAGCUGGUUCCACUUUCCUGGUGUUGGAACUGCAGGAAUGUGACACUAAGCCAGUUUUUAUGUGUGGCUGGAGAUGGGGUGCUCACACUUGCUAGGCGAACACCCCACUGAUUGGGCUACAUCUCCAGCUCCUAGAUUUAUUUUCAAAAGAAAUGUUAUUCCUAUCAAGUGAAAUAUUAUUCCAUAAGUAGAAAGCAAUGGGAAACAAUCAUAACGAAAUAAAGCAUUUUGUUACCUCCUGACUUGAAA